AUUGAACGCUGGCGGCAGGCCUAACGCAUGCAAGUCGAGCGGAGCGAGGGUGCUUGCACCUUAGCUUAGCGGCGGACGGGUGAGUAAUGCUUAGGAAUCUGCCUAUUAGUGGGGGACAACAUUCCGAAAGGAAUGCUAAUACCGCAUACGUCCUACGGGGGAAAGCAGGGGAUCUUCGGACCUUGCGCUAAUAGAUGAGCCUAAGUCGGAUUAGCUAGUUGGUGGGGUAAAGGCCUACCAAGGCGACGAUCUGUAGCGGGUCUGAGAGGAUGAUCCGCCACACUGGGACUGAGACACGGCCCAGACUCCUACGGGAGGCAGCAGUGGGGAAUAUUGGACAAUGGGCGGAAGCCUGAUCCAGCCAUGCCGCGUGUGUGAAGAAGGCCUUUUGGUUGUAAAGCACUUUAAGCGAGGAGGAGGCUACUAGUAUUAAUACUACUGGAUAGUGGACGUUACUCGCAGAAUAAGCACCGGCUAACUCUGUGCCAGCCGCCGCGGUAACAC
rnacentral:rRNA from 1 species